ACGCAACAAUAGCUUAACACAUGCAGUUUAUGUAAAAAUAGCGUACGGGUGCGUAAAACAUAGAAAUUUAUUUAAAAAAAAAUUAAUUAGAUUAACUCGAUUUUAAGAAAGUCUAUGUAAGAUUAAGUUUUUAGUAAGCUAAAAUUUACUAAGCUAACGAUCUUUAGUUGAUCUUUGCGGAUGACCGACCACACUGGAAUUGAGAUAAGGUCCAGACUUUUUUAAGGCAGCAGUGGGGAAUAUUGGACAAUGAGCGAAAGCUUGACCCAGCUAAAUUGUGUGUGUGAUAAAAGUAUUUUACUGUAAAACACAAUAUUAAAAUUUAAUUAUGAUAAAUUUUUUUUAAGUCCUGGCUAAUUUCGUGCCAGCAGCCGCGGUAAAACGAGAAGGGCAAGCGUUAUUCGGAUUAAUUGGGCGUAAAGAAUAUGUAGGUAGGAAAUUAAUUAAUUAAAUAAAAAAUUAAAUUUAACUUUAUUAAUAUUUAUUAAAAAAAUUUUCUUGAGUUUACCAGAAGAUUGUAGAAUUUUAAAUGUAACGGUAAAAUGUGUUGAUAUUUAAAAGAAUUUUAAAAGCGAAAGCAUCAAUCUAUAUUAAAACUGACACUGAGAUAUUAAAGUAUGGGUAGCAAAGGGGAUUAGAUACCCCCGUAGUCCAUACCAUCAACGAUGAAUGCUAAUUUUUGGUUAAUUAUCAGAAAUAAAGUUAACACAUUAAGCAUUCCGCCUGGGAAAUACGAUCGCAAGAUUAAAACUCAAAGGAAUUGACGG
rnacentral:rRNA from 1 species